rnacentral:lncRNA from 1 species
AGGGUGUUUGAAUGGAUUAUGACUCCUAGAAUUAGAUGGGAAGUAUUUAGAAUAGGAUAAUGACUCUUUUUGUAGCUGGAGAUAAUAUGAGAUAAUGUUGGAUAAAGUAGGAUAAUGUUUGGAUAAGGUAAGAUAAGAUUAUGUCUUUCCUUGUGUUCUAAGCUUCCAAAUUUGAUUCCUCUAUAUUUUAGCACAUAUUUAACACAUGUAAAACAUGCAUGCUCCACACGCAUGUAAAAAACGUCCAGCCCCACUGCUCCACACGCAUGUUAUCCAAUCCAAGUCCAAAACUACUCCAAAUUGCUCCAUUUAGCCAUUUAUUGUCAUCUUUACCAAUUGGACCUACAAUAAUAUGAUAAUAACUUAAAUUAAGAUAACAAAGUCACAUAAAUAUGCUCCUAUCAAUAACCUUCAACGUGAGCCGUGACAUACAAUGGCUUAAAAUGUUGAAGAUUAACCGAAGACGAGCGGGGAAACAGUAC